AUGGACCAGUUACACAAGUUGUUCCAAUUGAGAUGCAUUGGGAAAUUUCAGUUCCAUUCUAUUUUUGUUUGUCUUGUCUCUCAAGCAACUAAGGAUAAUCCUCCUUUGUUGAUGUCCUGUGGCAAUGUCCUAUGUAAGCAGUUUAUCUUGGAAAUAUUCAAGAAUAUCAGACGUGUUUUAACUUAUUGUCCCUUAGAUAUUUUUGCAUCUCAGUGUAUGAAAUCGUAU